rnacentral:lncRNA from 1 species
UAAGUCGAAAACCCGCAAGGGCGGCUUAGGCAAAAAUGGGUAUCCCGGUGGAUUGAAAACCCGAAAGGGCGAUCCAGCCAAAAGAGGGAUUAAAGAGAAGGCUACAGUCUGAGUCAUCUGUACUUCAUCACGCUUCGUCAGCUGCCAUCCCAAAGGAUGUGAUCGGUCCAGUCAGUCUUCUCAGAAAGCAAGGAGUUGGGAGGAACACUGAUGAUCUAUGAGUUAUAAC